rnacentral:rRNA from 1 species
GAAGAACGCUGGCGGCGUGCCUAAUACAUGCAAGUCGAGCGAACAGACGAGGAGCUUGCUCCUCUGACGUUAGCGGCGGACGGGUGAGUAACACGUGGAUAACCUACCUAUAAGACUGGGAUAACUUCGGGAAACCGGAGCUAAUACCGGAUAACAUGUUGAACCGCAUGGUUCAACAGUGAAAGACGGUCUUGCUGUCACUUAUAGAUGGAUCCGCGCCGCAUUAGCUAGUUGGUAAGGUAACGGCUUACCAAGGCAACGAUGCGUAGCCGACCUGAGAGGGUGAUCGGCCACACUGGAACUGAGACACGGUCCAGACUCCUACGGGAGGCAGCAGUAGGGAAUCUUCCGCAAUGGGCGAAAGCCUGACGGAGCAACGCCGCGUGAGUGAAGAAGGUCUUCGGAUCGUAAAACUCUGUUAUUAGGGAAGAACAAAUGUGUAAGUAACUAUGCACGUCUUGACGGUACCUAAUCAGAAAGCCACGGCUAACUACGUG